rnacentral:rRNA from 1 species
AACGAACGCUGGCGGCAGGCCUAGCACAUGCAAGUCGAGCGGACCCUUCGGGGUUAGCGGCGGACGGGUGAGUAACGCGUGGGAAUAUGCCCUUCUCUACGGAAUAGUCCUGGGAAACUGGGGGUAAUACCGUAUACGCCCUUUGGGGGAAAGAUUUAUCGGGGAAGGAUUAGCCCGCGUUGGAUUAGGUAGUUGGUGGGGUAAUGGCCUACCAAGCCGACGAUCCAUAGCUGGUUUGAGAGGAUGAUCAGCCACACUGGGACUGAGACACGGCCCAGACUCCUACGGGAAGCAGCAGUGGGGAAUCUUAGACAAUGGGGGCAACCCUGAUCUAGCCAUGCCGCGUGAGUGAUGAAGGCCUUAGGGUUGUAAAGCUCUUUCAGCUGGGAAGAUAAUGACGGUACCAGCAGAAGAAGCCCCGGCUAACUCCGUG